GGUCGCUUAGCUCAGUUGGUUAGAGCGUGGUGCUAAUACGGCAGUUCCUGUCCCCAGGAGCUUCACCAGUUAACGCCAAGGUCGCGAGUUCGACCCUCGUAGUGACCA